rnacentral:rRNA from 1 species
UACGAAGGGGGCUAGCGUUGCUCGGAAUCACUGGGCGUAAAGCGCACGUAGGCGGAUUGCUAAGUCAGGGGUGAAAUCCUGGAGCUCAACUCCAGAACUGCCUUUGAUACUGGCGAUCUUGAGUUCGGGAGAGGGAAGCGGAAUUCCGGGUGUAGCGGUGAAAUGCGUAGAUAUCCGGAGGAACACCGGUGGCGAAGGCGGCUUCCUGGACCGACACUGACGCUGAGGCGCGAAAGCUAGGGGAGCAAACGGG